AAACGGGGGGAGCGAGUGUUAUUCGGAAUGACUGGGCGUAAAGCGCACGUAGACGGCUUUAUAAGUGAUUUUUUAAAAACCAAAGCUUCACUUUGGAAAGACUAAUCAUACUGUUUAGCUAGAGUGAGAUUAAGGAGAAUGGAAUUUCUUGAGUAGGAUUGAAAUCCAUUGAUACGAGAAAGAACACCGGAGGCGAAGGCGAUUCUCUAGAUCUUUACUGACGUUGAGGUGCGAAAGCGUGGGGAGCAAACGGGAUUAGAAACCCCGGUAGUCC
rnacentral:rRNA from 1 species